GACGAACGCUGGCGGCGUGCCUAAUACAUGCAAGUAGAACGCACAGUUUAUACCGUAGCUCGCUACACCAUAGACUGUGAGUUGCGAACGGGUGAGUAACGCGUAGGUAACCUGCCUGGUAGCGGGGGAUAACUAUUGGAAACGAUAGCUAAUACCGCAUAAUAUUGAUUAUUGCAUGAUAAUUGAUUGAAAGAUGCUAUUGCAUCACUACCAGAUGGACCUGCGUUGUAUUAGCUAGUAGGUGAGGUAACGGCUCACCUAGGCGACGAUACAUAGCCGACCUGAGAGGGUGAUCGGCCACACUGGGACUGAGACACGGCCCAGACUCCUACGGGAGGCAGCAGUAGGGAAUCUUCGGCAAUGGACGAAAGUCUGGCCGAGCAACGCCGCGUGAGUGAAGAAGGUUUUCGGAUCGUAAAGCUCUGUUGUAAGAGAAGAACGGGUGUGAGAGUGGAAAGUUCACACUGUGACGGUAUCUUACCAGAAAGGGACGGCUAACUACGUGCCAGCAGCCGCGGUAAUACGUAGGUCCCGAGCGUUGUCCGGAUUUAUUGGGCGUAAAGCGAGCGCAGGCGGUUAGAUAAGUCUGAAGUUAAAGGCUGUGGCUUAACCAUAGUACGCUUUGGAAACUGUUUAACUUGAGUGCAGAAGGGGAGAGUGGAAUUCCAUGUGUAGCGGUGAAAUGCGUAGAUAUAUGGAGGAACACCGGUGGCGAAAGCGGCUCUCUGGUCUGUAACUGACGCUGAGGCUCGAAAGCGUGGGGAGCGAACAGG
rnacentral:rRNA from 1 species